UUUAUUGCUCGAGAAUACAAC
rnacentral:piRNA from 1 species